rnacentral:rRNA from 1 species
AUACGGAGGAUGCGAGCGUUAUCCGGAUUUAUUGGGUUUAAAGGGUGCGUAGGCGGAUUAAUAAGUCAGUGGUGAAAUCACUCAGCUCAACUGGGUAACUGCCAUUGAAACUAUUGAUCUAGAAUGUAAAUGGAGUAGGCGGAAUGAAUCAUGUAGAGGUGACAUUCUUAGAUAUGAUUUGGAACACCGAUCGCGAAGGCAGCUUACUAAGAUACUAUUGACGCUGAUGCACGAAAGCGUGGGUAGCGAACAGGAUUAGAUACCCUGGUAGUCCACGCUGUAAACGAUGAUAACUCGUUGUCGGCGAUACACAGUCGGCGACUUAGCGAAAGCGUUAAGUUAUCCACCUGGGGAGUACGAUCGCAAGGUUGAA